rnacentral:rRNA from 1 species
UACGGGGGGGGCAAGCGUUGUUCGGAAUUACUGGGCGUAAAGGGCUCGUAGGCGGCCAACUAAGUCAGACGUGAAAUCCCUCGGCUUAACCGGGGAACUGCGUCUGAUACUGGAUGGCUUGAGUUUGGGAGAGGGAUGCGGAAUUCCAGGUGUAGCGGUGAAAUGCGUAGAUAUCGGGAGGAACACCAGUGGCGAAGGCGAGUCUCUGGGAUGAUGCUGACGCUGAGGCGCGAAAGCCAGGGGAGCAAACGGG